AACGAACGCUGGCGGCAUGCCUAACACAUGCAAGUCGAACGAGACCUUCGGGUCUAGUGGCGCACGGGUGCGUAACGCGUGGGAACCUGCCCUUAGGUUCGGAAUAACUCCCCGAAAGGGGUGCUAAUACCGGAUAAUGUCUUCGGACCAAAGAUUUAUCGCCUUUGGAUGGGCCCGCGUUGGAUUAGCUAGUUGGUAGGGUAAAAGCCUACCAAGGCGACGAUGCAUAGCUGGUCUGAGAGGAUGAUCAGCCACACUGGGACUGAGAUACGGCCCAGACUACGAAGGGAGGCAGCAGUGGGGAAUAUUGGACAAUGGGCGGAAGCCUGAUGCAGCAACGCCGCGUGGGGGAUGACGGAAUUCGGGUUGUAAAGCGCUUUAGCCUGUGACGAAGCGUGAGUGACGGUAAUGGGUAAAGAAGCAACGGCUAACUACGUG
rnacentral:rRNA from 1 species